ensembl:lncRNA
UAUUAUUAUUAUUAUUAUUAUUAUUAUUUUAGCUUUCCUGAACUCUCGACCUAUUAAAAAAAAAUCAAUUCCUAUCCGAGAUAAAACAUGAACUGAACGUGAGCCAAUCUCUGCUGCUAAAAGAAACUCCCAGACCCGGAUCACCCCCCGUCCCCCACACCUUCUCCCCAUUGCCGAGGCUGCCACAACCCGGCAGCAUUCCCAUCGCUCAGCCAUCCACUCAUUCAGGUUGGGACCUCCAGCCCACCCCCACCGUGCUGUGUCAGCGCUGCGCCUCCGUGCUCCUCAGCACAUCCGGAUUACCCCCAAGGACACAUUCGGCAGUGACACCUGCGGUGCAUUUAGGACCCAUCUUUUCCUGGAUACAGUUUAAAUGUCUCAGAACCCACUUGUGAAAGCCCUGUGCUAACGAGGCUCGGCCCAUCCGUGCUGCUCACCUGAUGGGGAAACGCAGUGGUCUGUCACACUCAUCUAUAAUAACGGAUUUUUAUCUGCAGUUAUGGGGUUUUCUCACUCUUAAUUGCAGUGAGUGAAGAGCUGUUUUCCAUAGCGCCGUGCGCUGUGUUACCCUAUGAAUUAUAAACCUUUCUUUCGAGCUUAGCAGCCAUUCCAACAGCAACCCAAGCUACAACUUCAGCCUCUUUUGAGCUCAGGAGGGAUUCCUCUGCUCACACCGGUGCUGAGCCAGGAGGACUUCCCAGCAGCAAUGGGACAGGACGGGGCACCCCGCUGUCCCCACACCCCAGCCCCACACACGGCCCUGAGCGGGGGCUGCCCUCCCCCCGGCUUUUUGGAAGGGAAAUGAAAAAAAGCAAAAAAAAAAAAGAAUGCUUAAAGCUGCUGCGCUCUGCCCUUUUCCUUUCCACUUUGGAAGCCUUUUUAACGUGCAGUUUUCCAGCAAUUUGAAGGAAAAUUGCCCUGAAAGAAUGAAACAAAACCAAACGGAAAAAAAAAAAUCUGCCUUAUUUUUUCCAGCAAACCCCCCUGUGCCACACAAGCAGCUGCAGAGAAUUUCUCUUCCAAACAGAUGAUGUAAUGGGCUUUGUCAGCCAACGCUGUAGUGAAUAAAAACCUAGACCCUAAAAUCAUCCGAGCUAUUGAUGAAGCCCAUAAGCGUGGAAAGAUUUGUAGGAGGAGGCCUGAGGGGAAGGCAGCUCUCGCAGGGCUUCCCUCAGACCGUGAGCCCAGCCCUCCUCGGUGCUCCUGGUGCAAAACGGAGCGGGGUCCUGACCUGCAAAGGGCGAGCGAUCAGCUCCAGCACACAUCAACCCUGGGUGGAAGCUGUGGCUGCGUCCCAGCUGGAGCGCACCCACCUCCACCGCAGCAGCACGCGCAUCCAAGCAGCUCCCUUGUGGUUGUGGAGCAGCAUCCAGAGGGAUCCCCGCAGCGAGGGUGAAGGCAGAGAGCUGCUGCCAUCAGAGCCUUCCCUCCCUGCCGUUGCUUUCAUCUUCCCGAGGGAAAAGCAAACAGAGGGGAACCAGAAAGCUUUGUGGCUACGAAGUCUCACAUCUGGUUUUAGCUCCAUGAGACGUACUCCCACCCCCUCCUUGAAUCAUUAAUGUUAAACAAACAGAACCCCGGUGAUUUUUCUGGAUUUCAGUGCUUGGACCCCUUACGAGCAGCUUUUGCUGCGAAUCCCACGAUUGCCCUCACCUCCAUCCCUAAGGAAAGCAACGCACCCCUCUUGGCAGGGAGGGAGAUGCUGCCAAAUGGCACAACUCCAUGGCUCCGGCACCGCAGGACGAGCAGCAACCCC